rnacentral:rRNA from 1 species
CAUCAAACGAGACUCCGUAAGUAGUGGCGAGCGAACGCGGACCAGGCCAGUGGCUUUUAUGAGACAAGUGGAACACCUUGGAAAGGGUGACCGAAGUGGGUGAUAGUCCCGUACACGUAAUGCGAAUAAAAGUCCUUGAGUAGGGCGGGACACGUGAAAUCCUGUCUGAACAUGGGGAGACCACUCUCCAAGCCUAAGUACUCGUGCAUGACCGAUAGCGAACCAGUACCGUGAGGGAAAGGUGAAAAGCACCCCGACAAGGGGAGUGAAAGAGAUCCUGAAACCGAAUGCCUACAAACAGUUGGAGCCCAAGAUUUGUUCUGGGUGACAGCGUACCUUUUGUAUAAUGGGUCAGCGACUUAGUCUGACGAGCAAGCUUAAACCGGUAGGUGUAGGCGCAGCGAAAGCGAGUCUGAACAGGGCGUUCAGUUCGUCGGAUUAGACCCGAAACCAAGUGAUCUAGCCAUGAGCAGGUUGAAGGUAAGGUAACACUUACUGGAGGACCGAACCCGCAUCUGUUGCAAUAGAUUGGGAUGACUUGUGGCUAGGGGUGAAAGGCCAAUCAAA